rnacentral:rRNA from 1 species
GAGCACGUAGUGGUUUGUAAGUCAGAUGUGAAAGCCUCCUGUUCAACGGGAGAAUUGCAUCUGAAACUACUGAUCUUGAGUGUAGGAGGGGAGAAUGGAACUUCUGGUGGAGCGGUGAAAUGCGUAGAUAUCAGAAGGAACGCCGGCGGCGAAGGCGAUUCUCUGGCCUAUUACUGACACUCAGUGUGCGAAAGUAAGGGGAGCAACCGGAAUUAGAUACCCCGGUAGUCCAAGCCGAAAACAAUGGCCACUAAGUAGAGGGGUUUU